GUGGCAGUGGCAGUGGUAGGUUCUCCUCUAAGUUCCAUGGUCUGACCAGCCACAGGUACGUAUUAAGUUUACAGUGCUGAUGAACUCACUCUUAUUGAGUGGGCCCAAGGUCCAAGUAGAUGGCAAUCGGAUGGCCACAGGCUUCGUGGUUCUCUCCAGUCUUGUGAGGACUAGUCCUCAGUAAAGAGACUUCCGUGCAAGUUUGAGCUCCGUUCAUUGAUUCUUCAAAUUCCUGUGUCUGAGAUAUAUUAGCCAAACAUGGCUACUCCUACAUAAAUGCAUUAUCGUUUUUCCUCCACUGUCAAGAGAUUACACGGAAACAGUAGUUGGACAUCUCACUAACCCCUACAAGACUGUCUGAAGGAUAGUUCGUGUUACAUCUUAUGAAGUUUCCUGUCAAGGUGAUUUCUAUGGAGAUAUAGACAUUAAAAGCAAAGCAGCUUAGCCAGAGUUAUGUUACAAAAUGGAAUGGAAUUCUGAAGUACAGCAAAACUGAUAUCCAACUAAAUUAAUCAUCUGUUCUUCUAAGCAUCUUAUUGGAAACAGCCUUGAGUUUGAAUGGAAAGGUUAUUCAUGUUAUCUUGGGCAAGCCACUAACUAUAGUGAAAUCUCAUUCUUUUCAGAGUCUGAUAAAGAAUAAAUGUCUCACCUCAUUA